CCUACGGGAGGCUGCAGUGGGGAAUAUUGCACAAUGGGGGAAACCCUGAUGCAGCGACGCCGCGUGAGUGAAGAAGUAUCUCGGUACGUAAAGCUCUAUCAGCAGGGAAGAAAAUGACGGUACCUGACUAAGAAGCCCCGGCUAACUACGUGCCAGCAGCCGCGGUAAUACGUAGGGGGCAAGCGUUAUCCGGAUUUACUGGGUGGAAAGGGAGAGUAGACGGCAGCACAAGUCUGGAGGGAAAUCCCGGGGCUUAAACCCGGAACUGCUUUGGAAAGUGUGCGGCUGGAGUGCAGGAGGGGUAAGCGGAAUUACUAGUGUAGCGGUGAAAUGCGUAGAUAUUAGGAGGAACACCGGUGGCGAAGGCGGCUUACUGGACUGUAACUGACGUUGAGGCUCGAAAGCGUGGGGAGCAAACAGGAUUAGAUACCCGUGUAGUC
rnacentral:rRNA from 1 species